rnacentral:tRNA from 1 species
GCCUGGGUGGCUCAGUCGGUUGAGCGCCUGGCUUUGGCUCAGGUCAUGAUCUCACAGCUCUGUGGGUUCGAGCCCCACAUCGGGCU